GGAAGUAGCUCAGCUUGGUAGAGCACUUGGUUUGGGACCAAGGGGUCGCAGGUUCGAAUCCUGUCU
rnacentral:tRNA from 1 species